rnacentral:rRNA from 1 species
UACGUAGGGGGCAAGCGUUGUCCGGAAUCAUUGGGCGUAAAGCGCGUGUAGGCGGUCCGGUAAGUCGGCUGUGAAAGUCCAGGGCUCAACCCUGGGAUGCCGGUCGAUACUGCCGGACUAGAGUUCGGAAGAGGCGAGUGGAAUUCCCGGUGUAGAGGUGAAAUUCGUAGAUAUCGGGAGGAACACCAGUGGCGAAGGCGACACGCUGGGCCGUACCUGACACUGAUGCGCGACAGCAUGGGGAGCAAACAGG